UACGGAGGGUGCAAGCGUUAUCCGGAUUCACUGGGUUUAAAGGGUGCGUAGGCGGCUUUUUAAGUCAGUGGUGAAAGACAACAGCUCAACUGUUGCAGUGCCAUUGAUACUGAAGAGCUUGAGUACAGAUGAGGUAGGCGGAAUUUAUGGUGUAGCGGUGAAAUGCAUAGAUACCAUAAACAACACCUAUUGCGAAGGCAGCUUACUAAGCUGUAACUGACGCUGAGGCACGAAAGUGUGGGGAUCAAACAGG
rnacentral:rRNA from 1 species